GAUGAACGCUGUCUACAGGCUUAACACAUGCAAGUCGAGGGGAAACGACGGGGAAGCUUGCUUCCCCGGGCGUCGACCGGCGCACGGGUGAGUAACGCGUAUCCAACCUGCCUCUGACUGAGGGAUAACCCGUCGAAAGUCGGCCUAAUACCUCAUGGCAUCGUCUGCGGGCAUCCAACGACGAUUAAAGAUUUCAUCGGUCAGGGAUGGGGAUGCGUCUGAUUAGCUUGUUGGCGGGGUAACGGCCACCAAGGCUACGAUCAGUAGGGGUUCUGAGAGGAAGGUCCCCCACAUUGGAACUGAGACACGGUCCAAACUCCUACGGGAGGCAGCAGUGAGGAAUAUUGGUCAAUGGGCGGGAGCCUGAACCAGCCAAGUAGCGUGCAGGAUGACGGCCCUAUGGGUUGUAAACUGCUUUUAUGCGGGGAUAAAGUGAGGGACGUGUCCUUCAUUGCAGGUACCGCAUGAAUAAGGACCGGCUAAUUCCGUG
rnacentral:rRNA from 1 species